rnacentral:rRNA from 1 species
UACGUAGGAUGCAAGCGUUGUCCGGAAUUAUUGGGCGUAAAGAGCUCGUAGGCGGUCUGUCGCGUCUGCUGUGAAAACUCGGGGCUUAACCCCGGGCCUGCAGUGGGUACGGGCAGACUAGAGUGCGGUAGGGGAGACUGGAAUUCCUGGUGUAGCGGUGAAAUGCGCAGAUAUCAGGAGGAACACCGGUGGCGAAGGCGGGUCUCUGGGCCGUAACUGACGCUGAGGAGCGAAAGCGUGGGGAGCGAACAGG